AUUGAACGCUGGCGGCAGGCCUAACACAUGCAAGUCGAACGAGUGGCGGACUUGUGAGUAAUGUCUGGGAAACUGCCUGAGGGCGGGGGAUAACUACUGGAAACGGUAGCUAAUACCGCAUACCAUCAGAUGUGCCCAGAUGCGAUUGGCUUGUUGGUGGGGUAACGGCUCACAAAGGCGACGAUCCCUAGCUGGUCUGAGAGUAUGACCAGCCACACUGGAACUGAGACACGGUCCAGACUCCUACGGGAGGCAGCAGUGGGGAAUAUUGCACAAUGGGCGCAAGCCGGAUGCAUCCAUGCCGCGUGUAUGAAGAAGGCCUUCGGGGUGUAAAGUACUUUCAGCGGGGCGGGGAAAAAGGAAGAAGAAGCACCGGCUAACUCCGUGCCAGCAGCAGCGGUAAUUG
rnacentral:rRNA from 1 species